AGCACCCUCUAGAGCUUGCUAAAGCUGGAGUGACACAGGGAAGAUUAGCAUGGUCUCUGGGCAAGGAUGGCACACAAAUCGUGAAGCGAUUUUGUGUGUAUUU